ACUCCCAAACCAGUUGGCUUUAGGGCACUAAGCUUUAAACUUUUGCAAGCUUAUUCACUCGAGGCUCGAUCAGAUGACUUUUUAUUAACCUCUUUCCCUCUUGCUUUCUAUAUGACCACUUUAGCGAGCUUUAGGCCCGUGACUCCCAGACCAGUUGACCUUAGGGCACCAGAUUUUGAAACAUCCUUUCUAGACAUUUAGUUCUCAAAACUAACCCCCAAUUUAAGAUUUUCACAUAAUCUUCACCUCACUGGUCUAGGCAAUCCACACAAUAAAAUUUCAUCCACGGAGCCCUGGCUUAUCUUAAUGCUCC
rnacentral:lncRNA from 1 species